AAGGAAGGUCAAAAGGUCACCUUCCCCAUUUGCUAGCCGGCCGGCCCCAGAGCUCCUACUAGCCUACCUGUAAGCCUUGUGGAGUACAGAGAGGCUCACUACACACAACUACAAUCACUUGAGUGCUUGAAUCUACCAGCAGAGUCAUGGAUGGUGGUGUUAUGAAGUGGCUGAGCUUGAAGAAGCUGCAGUUUGAGGCCUACACAGCAGUGGGCAUGUUGGAACCAGCAGAGAAAGGAACUAUCUAUGUGAUGCUGAUGAUUAUUCUCGUGAUGACCCUGUACACAAUGAUGCUGUAUCUACCUACGCACAUCUCUCAUCUAGUGAACUUCUUCUUUGGAUAAUAAGACAUUCUUCCCUGUUCUGUAAUUGCUAUUGCUCAUUUUUAACCUAGUAUGUUGUAGCACGUUUCAUUUUUGUUAAAUGGUAAUCUCAUUACUACACCUAUGUGUAUUGAAAUUGUGUCCAUGACUAAACAAUGACAAAUUUUCCCAAAAUUUGA